UACUUCGUAGCUCAAAUGGUUAGAGUAUUUAAUUAGUAAUUAAAAUGUCGUUGGUUCGAAUCCAACCGAGAUUC
rnacentral:tRNA from 1 species